CAAGCCCAUCUGAUUUCAUUUGCCCAAAAUUGUUUGCUCAGAGAUUCUGAACGCGGUGGUAAUUCUUUCUUUGUAUCCUGCUAUAAAUACCUGGUUAUUUAUAUCCUGCUCUGAGCACUUGGCAUUGGGUCCAGGUAUCAUACUGCUAGCCAGUGCUGUGCUCCUGCUCUGACAAGAGAGCCUGUUUGGUCCCCAGGACUCAGGGGGUCUGUCUGUGCCGGGGUAUCCAGAAGGAAAAACUGAGGCUUCCAGAAUGCUGAAGAGAUGCUUACUUGGAUAUAUGGGGCACAGACGCCCGAAGCUUCAGGCCGCCUCAGCCCAUGCACCCACACACCUUCUGCCAGUGCCCACACUCAGCUGGUGUGGGGGUGGCAGCUUGACAAAGACUGAGAAGACAGAAGAGACUGGCGUUGGGUGUGGGGCACACAGCAAUGGCGAGCUAAGACAGGAGGACAGCCCGGCCUUCCUGCUACCCGCCGGUGAGGUGCUGUGUGUGCUCCGGCAUGUGGCUUCACUUCCCAUGCCUCCAGGGACUCAUCUGUAAAAUGGGAAUAAUAAUACAACCACCCAAAGGGCCUGGUCCACAUGAAGCGCUUUGAGGAUCACCAUCGUCAUCAAGGAAGGAGAAGCAGCACUUUUCGAGGAGCUAAACAUCUGGAAGACCGUCAUCAGUCAAACAUACUACAAGAAUUAGAGGGUCCAACAGCUGUAGCAGACUCCACUUGAGGCAAAUUGGAACUGUAAAAAUUUUGAUUUUCAGAUCAAAUUGAGAGAGUAGAUACUUGAAGGACUAUUGAACUUUCAAAAUGGCUUGUUACGGGGUUCGCGCAAAUGGUGAACAAUUCCCCUGGCACGUCUAAGUCAGGAACAGAUCGACCAGGCUGUGAGCAAUGCGUGAAGCAAGACCAACACGCACACAGGACCCACGCGGCUUCCGAGGGCGCCACACGGAGGACCGCAGCAGGUUCGGUGCCAGAAGGGGCCUGCCUGGCACCAAGAGCUCUCCGCUUUCAGAGGACCUCAGCCUUCAACUUCAAAACCAGAUCGAAACCAGACCAAAGCCGGCACCACUUGGAAAGGCAGGGAGAGAUUCAGCUUCUAGAAAUGGGACGCUGAGCUCCACAGGGCCCGAGGACCAUCACAUCACGGGUGGGAGUGGACAUGUUCAGCAUCAUGGGGACGACGUCCAAUCAAUCUGGCAUCCCCCUCUCCUGCACGCCCUCGCCGCUGGUCAAUACUGGCUGACGAAACAAUUCCUGAUAGCUUUCUGUGGGGCCAGUGCUUGGCUUCUGGGGUGGGGAAAGGAAUGAGGAAUGACAACAGAGAGAAGACGGGCCAGUGCUCUGAAAUCUUCAAAGUUCCCGACUCUGACACCCUCUCCUGCUCUUCCUGGUGGAGAGCAUCCAAUCCUGGCUUCAUCUGGGCUCUGGAGGAAUUAGGAUUCUGAUCACCCACCCUCAAGGCUCCUCAGGCAAGCUCUUCCCCACCCUUCAAGCGUAAGCUCUCAAGUCCUCAAUGGGUCUGUUUUCAUCUAUUUAAAAUGUAGGCUGCUUGGGGCGCCUGGG